UCUUCAAUAUAUAUUUUUUAGCAGCUGGUACUGCUGCUUACGUAAUUUAUGCCGAACACAGUAGCAAUGGAAGCAACUGCUGAGUGGAAUGAAGAACACACUUGAUUGGUUUGUGAGCUGUUCAAGGAACAAGUUGAGGCUGGAAAUCGCCCAAAUACACAUAUGAAUAACAUUGGGUAUGCGACAGUGAUUGAUAAAUUUUAUCAGAAGACUGGAAUAAAGUACAACAAAAGACAGUUUAAGAAUAAAUGGGAUAAACUAAAAAGUGCUUACUACAUUUGGAAGAGUUUGAAAAAGGAGACAGGUAUGGGCUGGGAUCCUGUGAAGCAAACAGUUACAACUUCAGCCGAGCGUUGGAAAAAUCUUAAGAAAAAAUACCAAGGUUGUGGUAGGUUUCAAAAGGCCGGACUUCAAAAUGAGGACCUUUUGGCCAAGAUCUUUGAAGACUUGCGCAACACUGGUGAAGACCAUUGGUCUCUUGCUAAUGGUAGCAUGCCUUAAAGUCCUCAGAAUGUUGAUGCUGAAGACCACGGAGAUGAGAACGAGGACAAAGAAAGUGAGGAGGAAGAUGAGUCUCCAAUUAUUAAUAAUAAAGGAAAAAGAGUUGGUGGUGCUAUAGAAGGAAAAGGAAAAAAUCAAGGAGUGGUUCUGCGAUCAUGCAAUACCAUUUGAAAGAAAUUGUUGAGCUGAGCAAGAAGUCGCAAGCAGCCAUUGAAUCCAUUGCUAAACAACGAGAGGAUGCCUCAGUUUGUACCAUCAAAGAUGCGAUGACUCUGGUUACAGAAUGUGGUGCUGUCAUCGGCACUAAUGAGCACUUCAUUGCUUCUGAUAUUUUCGUAAAGAAGGAGCAAAGAGAAAUGUUUAUGACCAUACCUGAUGCUAGUGCACGCUUUGACUGGCUUCAAAGGAAAUAUGAUGCCAAGUAUGGCAAAUAGAUUAUAAUAUUUUGGUUGUAAUUGUUAAGGCAUUCCUAUAAGUAGUAUGCCUUCAACACUCCUAUCUUUCAUGUUGCAUUUAGUUAUUUAUUUGGCU